rnacentral:piRNA from 1 species
GGCAGGAAGAGGUGGAUCAUAAUGGU